rnacentral:rRNA from 1 species
GGGGAAUAUUGGACAAUGGGCGAAAGCCUGAUCCAGCCAUGCCGCGUGAGUGACGAAGGUCUUCGGAUUGUAAAGCUCUUUUGGCGGGGACGAUAAUGACGGUACCCGCAGAAUAAGCCCCGGCUAACUUCGUGCCAGCAGCCGCGGUAAUACGAAGGGGGCUAGCGUUGUUCGGAAUUACUGGGCGUAAAGCGCACGUAGGCGGAUUGUUAAGUCAGGGGUGAAAUCCCGGGGCUCAACCUCGGAACUGCCCUUGAGACUGGCAAUCUCGAGUCCGGAAGAGGUGAGUGGAAUUCCUAGUGUAGAGGUGAAAUUCGUAGAUAUUAGGAAGAACACCAGUGGCGAAGGCGGCUCACUGGUCCGGUACUGACGCUGAGGUGCGAAAGCGUGGGGAGCAAAC